UACACUCCUGCGGGAGGCAGCAGUGGGGAAUAUUGCACAAUGGGCGCAAGCCUGAUGCAGCCAUGCCGCGUGUAUGAAGAAGGCCUUCGGGUUGUAAAGUACUUUCAGCGGGGAGGAAGGCAAUACGGUUAAUAACCGUGUUGAUUGACGUUACCCGCAGAAGAAGCACCGGCUAACUCCGUGCCAGCAGCCGCGGUAAUACGGAGGGUGCAAGCGUUAAUCGGAAUUACUGGGCGUAAAGCGCACGCAGGCGGUCUGUCAAGUCGGAUGUGAAAUCCCCGGGCUCAACCUGGGAACUGCAUUCGAAACUGGCAGGCUUGAGUCUUGUAGAGGGGGGUAGAAUUCCAGGUGUAGCGGUGAAAUGCGUAGAGAUCUGGAGGAAUACCGGUGGCGAAGGCGGCCCCCUGGACAAAGACUGACGCUCAGGUGCGAAAGCGUGGGGAGCAAACAGGAUUAGAAACCCCUGUAGUCCC
rnacentral:rRNA from 1 species